rnacentral:rRNA from 1 species
UACGGGGGGGGCAAGCGUUGUUCGGAAUUACUGGGCGUAAAGCGUGCGCAGGCGGCUUUGCAAGACAGAUGUGAAAUCCCCGGGCUCAACCUGGGAACUGCAUUUGUGACUGCAUGGCUGGAGUGCGGCAGAGGGGGAUGGAAUUCCGCGUGUAGCAGUGAAAUGCGUAGAUAUGCGGAGGAACACCGAUGGCGAAGGCAAUCCCCUGGGCCUGCACUGACGCUCAUGCACGAAAGCGUGGGGAGCAAACAGG